GAUGAACGCUGGCGGCGUGCUUAACACAUGCCAGUCGAACGAAGCACCUUGAUUCGAUUCUUCGGAUGAAGAUCUUGGUGACUGAGUGGCGGACGGGUGAGUAACGCGUGGGUAACCUGCCUCAUACAGGGGGAUAACAGUUAGAAAUGACUGCUAAUACCGCAUAAGACCACAGCACCGCAUGGUGCAGGGGUAAAAACUCCGGUGGUAUGAGAUGGACCCGCGUCUGAUUAGGUAGUUGGUGGGGUAACGGCCUACCAAGCCGACGAUCAGUAGCCGACCUGAGAGGGUGACCGGCCACAUUGGGACUGAGACACGGCCCAAACUCCUACGGGAGGCAGCAGUGGGGAAUAUUGCACAAUGGGGGAAACCCUGAUGCAGCGACGCCGCGUGAGCGAUGAAGUAUUUCGGUAUGUAAAGCUCUAUCAGCAGGGAAGAAAAUGACGGUACCUGACGAAGAAGCACCGGCUAAAUACGUG
rnacentral:rRNA from 1 species